rnacentral:rRNA from 1 species
GAAAUGCGAUAAGUAAUGUGAAUUGCAGAAUUCAGUGAAUCAUCGAAUCUUUGAACGCAUCUUGCGCUUCUUGGUAUUCCGAGGAGCAUGCCUGUUUGAGUGUCAUUCAAGUUUCUCAACCACAUUUUUCAAUGUGGCUUGGUAUUGGUGGGGGAUGCAGGCUUUAGUAAAUGAAGUCUGCUCACCUGAAAUGCAUUAGUAGUAUCUGAGCACUACUACACAGGUGUGAUAAUUUAUCUAUGCCUUGGUGUGUAGCUGCAUGAAAUCAGUCAGAUUGCACUGCUUCUAAUCAUUUUGUUUUUUUGAUGAAUUUGACCUCAAAUCAGGUAGGACUACCCGCUGAACUUAA